rnacentral:rRNA from 1 species
UUAUUUAUUUUAUUAUAUUUAUUUUUUGUUUAUUUAAUUAUUUAAUAAAAAUAAUUUUGUUGAAUUUUGUCUUAGUAUAUUUUGUAGAAUUGAUUUUUUAUAUUAUAGUUUAUUGGUAAUGUAAUUGUUUUAUGAAAUAUUAUUUUAAAUUUUUAAAAGUAGAUUUUAUUUAUUGUACCUUUUGUAUCAGGGUUUAUCAAAAUUUUAGUAUUUACUUUACUUGUCUCGAUUUGGGUUGAUUUAUAAAUAAUUUAUAGUUAAUGUAUCAUAAUUCUUAUUAAAUUAUUUAUAGAAAUGAGAUGUUAACCGUUUCCCAAGGUAUCUAGUUUCUUAAGAAAAAAUUUAAUUUUUUAAAGUUAAUUGUUUUAUUUAAUUUUUUAAGUAUAAAUAUUAACUUAUUUAUUCUUUAAGGGAUAAGCUUUGAAGUUAAUAACCUAUAAUUUGUUUUAAUAAAAUAUAAUAGUAAGCUUUAAACCAGCUAUCUUUAAGAUUACGUUUUAGUUCAUUAUUUUUAUUUUUGAUUUUAAAAUUAUUUUAGGUUUUUUAUAAAGAUUAUAAAUUUAAUUUUUAAAUUUUUGUAAUAAUGAUAGAAUUAGGAUAUUUAUUUGUAUAUAAUUUUUACCUGGUUAAUUUAUUAUAAGGAACUAGGC